rnacentral:rRNA from 1 species
UGGGUAACCUGCCUCAAAGAGGGGAAUAGCCUCCCGAAAGGGAGAUUAAUACCGCAUAAUAUGUUUAAGUCGCAUGACUUUAACAUCAAAGGAUUUUUCUUUUAAGAAAUUCCACUUUGAGAUGGACCCGCGGCGCAUUAGCUAGUUGGUGAGGUAACGGCUCACCAAGGCAACGAUGCGUAGCCGACCUGAGAGGGUGAUCGGCCACAUUGGAACUGAGACACGGUCCAGCUCC